GCCGGUAACCCAAUCAGACGACUGUAUGUAACACAUAGGGGAGUAUGUACCUCCGCCGCCAUUGGUAGAUAAAUACUAUCGUUUGAGCAAAGUACAUACCUCCGCCACCAUUGAUAAAUAAAUACUACCGUUUGUGCAAAUCUGUAAAGUUUUGUUUUGUGUGGCUUCCGCCACACAGAGACGUAAUAAACAGGCAUAAUAUGUAGACCCGAUGAACCAAUCAGAGGACAUUACGUUUUACAUAGAUCGGGGCAGUAAACCAAUCAGAGGACUUUACGUAACUCCGCUGCCUUUGAUAAAUAAAUACAAUCGUUUGUGCAAAGAAAAUAGCAUUAGGACCCUCUAAAAUAGCAUAGACAAAGAGACAUGCUUACGAGGCACAAUUCAAGCUUCCUGGAAAUCCGGGAUUAUUGCCGAAAAGCAACGUGACAAUGACGAGGGAAAUUGGCAUGUCAGAUUGCAAACUUGCCCAACUGUUUAAUUUGGAUGCAGAAGAUGACGACUUGGACGGAUUUCCGUAUGAAUAAUGUGAGUACAGUAGAGUACAUGGUUAAACAGUAGAAUAUAGUACAACCAAACUCACUUUCUUGCUCACGUGAUGUUUUUUUUUUUGUUUACCAUAAAUCAUGGCAUGCAUGCGCCCUAUAAUGUGGUGCGUCCUAAAUACAAAAUAGACCCCGUAAUUUAGUCUGCGCCUUUUAACCCGAAGCGCCUUAUGGUCGUGAAAAUACGGUACAUACGUCCAAAAAGGUUCAUUACCUUUUUGGACAUAUGAAAUAAAAACAAAAA